ensembl:lncRNA
UCCCAUAAUAAUGCAUUUACCGUCCGUUACAUUUUGAGUUUUAAAGUUUUACUUCUGUCGUAGUCGAGUUUUAAAUCCAGCAUGGUGUUAAUCUUUACGCUGUAUUAUCAUGCUUUGGACUAUUUAAUUCACUUGAUAUCUUCUGUUUUUGAGGAUUCUUUGAAAGUCAUGAGCGACUCUGUGGCGCAAUGGAGAGCGCGUUGGACUUCUAGUUGAUCAUCAUGAAAGCAAUUCAAAGGUUGUGGGUUCGAGUCCCACCAGAGUUGAGCUUUAGAUUCAGUGACAAAAGCCAGAAAUAUCUCUAGGCAAUUACUGCUUAAAUAGAAAGCAUUUCUUUCCAUCCCAUUAUAAUGCAUUUACCGUCCGUAACAUUUUUAGUUUUAAAGUUUUACUCCUGUCGUAGUCAAGUUUUAAAUCCAGCAUGGUGUUCACCCUUACGCUGUAUUAUUAUGUGCUGGACUAUUUUUUUCUUCUCUUUAUAUCUUCUUUUUUUGAGGAUUCUUUGCAAAUCAUAAGCGACUCUGUGGCGCAAUGGACAGCGCGUUGGACUUCUAGUUGAUCAUCAUGAAAGUAAUUCAAAGGUUGUGGGUUCGAGUCCCACCAGAGUUGAACUUUAGAUUCAGUGACAAAAGCCAGAAAUCUCUCUGGGGAAUUACCGCUUAAAUAAAAGCAUUUUAUCCCAUCCCAUAAUAAUGCAUUUACCGUCCGUUACAUUUUGAGUUUUAAAGUUUUACUUCUGUCGUAGUCGAGUUUUAAAUCCAGCAUGGUGUUCAUCUUUACGCUGUAUUAUCAUGCUUUGGACUAUUUAAUUCACUUGAUAUCUUCUUUUUUUGAGGAUUCUUUGAAAAUCACCAGCAACUCUGUGGCGCAAUGGACAGCGCGUUGGACUUCUAGUUGAUCAUCAUGAAAGUAAUUCCAAGG